GUCUCUUUAGCUCAGUUGGCAGAGCGUCAGUCUCAUAAUCUGAAAGUCGAGGGUUCGAGCCCCUCAAGAGGCA